ACGCUCGACACCUACGGGAGGCAGCAGUGGGGAAUAUUGCACAAUGGGGGGAAACCCUGAUGCAGCGACGCCGCGUGAGCGAAGAAGUAUUUCGGUAUGUAAAGCUCUAUCAGCAGGGAAGAUAAUGACGGUACCUGACUAAGAAGCUCCGGCUAAAUACGUGCCAGUAGCCGCGGUAAUCGUGAGGCGGGCUGGCAAGGC
rnacentral:rRNA from 1 species